rnacentral:rRNA from 1 species
GGCCCACCAAGGCUACGAUCAGUAGGGGUUCUGAGAGGAAGGUCCCCCACAUUGGAACUGAGACACGGUCCAAACUCCUACGGGAGGCAGCAGUGAGGAAUAUUGGUCAAUGGACGAGAGUCUGAACCAGCCAAGUAGCGUGCAGGAUGACGGCCCUAUGGGUUGUAAACUGCUUUUAUAAGGGAAUAAAGUGAGCCUCGUGAGGCUUUUUGCAUGUACCUUAUGAAUAAGGACCGGCUAAUUCCGUGCCAGCAGCCGCGGUAAUACGGAAGGUCCGGGCGUUAUCCGGAUUUAUUGGGUUUAAAGGGAGCGUAGGCCGGAGAUUAAGCGUGUUGUGAAAUGUAGAUGCUCAACAUCUGCACUGCAGCGCGAACUGGUUUCCUUGAGUACGCACAAAGUGGGCGGAAUUCGUGGUGUAGCGGUGAAAUGCUUAGAUAUCACGAAGAACUCCGAUUGCGAAGGCAGCUCACUGGAGCGCAACUGACGCUGAAGCUCGAAAGUGCGGGUAUCGAACAGGAUUAGAUACCCUGGUAGUCCGCACGGUAAACGAUGGAUGCCCGCUGUUGGUCUGAAUAGGUCAGCGGCCAAGCGAAAGCACUGAGCAUCCCACCUGGGGAGUACGCCGGCAACGGUGAAACUCAAAGGA